GAGUGUGUCGGAUUCUCCAACAUUUGUGUAAUUUUGGAGAAUCUGACACGGGUGU
rnacentral:pre_miRNA from 1 species